GAUGAAGAACGUAGCGAAAUGCGAUAACUAAUGUGAAUUGCAGAAUUCAGUGAAUCAUCGAGUCUUUGAACGCACAUUGCGCCCCCUGGUAUUCCGGGGGGCAUGCCUGUCCGAGCGUCAUUGCUGCCCUCAAGCACGGCUUGUGUGUUGGGCUCCGUCCCCCCGGGGACGGGCCCGAAAGGCAGCGGCGGCACCGAGUCCGGUCCUCGAGCGUAUGGGGCUUUGCCACCCGCUCUGUAGGCCCGGCCGGCGCCAGCCGACAACCCAUCAUCCUUUUCAGGUUGACCUCGGAUCAGGUAGGGAUACCCGCUGAACUUAAGCAUAUCAAUAAGCGGAGGA
rnacentral:misc_RNA from 1 species